UUUAUUUAGGAAGGCUGAAAUGAUUGUACGCUAAUCUGAACAGGCAAUCUGCACAAGGACCUUUCAGUUUUGAUAUAUUCCACACUGGAUUCCAUCACGCGUGCUUUGUUCUUUCUUCAGAUCUCAAAUCAUUCUCAGGCACCAGACAAGGAAGGAAUUAUUUUUCUAAUGAAAUGUUUAAAAAUGUUUCUUUCAUGUAUUUCAUACUUUAUAUAAAGGAAGUAUAUAUAAACAGAAGUUUUAGAUACCAUACAACUUUCACAUACAACUUACCCUCCUAGUUCAUUUUUCAAGUCAAAAAUGAGGCAUCGGUGGUUGUGUCUCUUUAAACCUCUUAUGAAAUUAACCAAAC
rnacentral:lncRNA from 1 species